UAAAAUUUACCAAACUCUAAUAUACUCAAAAUCCCUAAUUUCACUUUUGCCCCAAAUUAAACCCUAAUUCCUAAAUUAAAACCCACAAACCCUAACCUCCACCACCUCACCGCCACCCACCCACCGCCACAGCUCCCACUCAAUAUACACAAACACACCCACACACAGCAGCAAUCAAGAGAGAAAAGAAAGAGGAAACGAAAUACAGGAAAGGAAAGGAAGAGAGGACUGGGGGAGAAGUGAGUUGCACCGCAGGGGAGAAGAAGGAGACCGAGCCGUCGCGCCUACCUCCGUCCAUCUCGCGUCGCCGCCAUUUUUUCAAGAUGCUUUGUGGCGCCACCCCUCCUGGAGCCCGAGUCUGCAUGGCUAUCAUUCGUCCGCAUUUUACCGAGCGGCCGUGGACAAGGAACCCCGUGCAAAAGAGAGUUGUCAAAGGACAAGCAGAUCGCGCGGAGAAGGGAGGCAUGGUUGCCUGUGUCGCCGCCUUGCUUCCAUCGCCGCUGGAGCUUUGUUGCUGCUGCCUUUAGUUUGCUAUGACCGUAGAGGUCGCUGGAGGAAGAGUGAGAGUCAGAGGAGAAAGAGAGUAAGCGAGAUCUGAGGAGAGAGAGAGUGACGCACAGAGGAGAGACCAUUCCUCUGCCGCUGCCGGUCGCUACCAUCAUUAAUGGUGAGUCAGUUAAGCCCUAGCCAUGAAAACAACCAUCUCUGAACCCUUAUUGCUCUGUAAAAUACCCUGUAUUUGUCUCUGAUGUUCUUGUCUAUAUUGUGUUUGUUGGAGUUUGUCUCAAUUGGAGUCAUUGGUGAAGGUGUUACCGCUGCUGGAAGCAAACGUCGGGGCUGUUGCUGGUUCUGAUUCUAUUAUCUUGGACUGUUUCUGCCCUUGAUCAUAUUAGAUUCAAAAUUCUUGUCCUGCUGCAACCAUCAUCAUCACCGCAAAAUUAACGUUGUUGCUGUUGCAAUGGAUGCGGUAUCCUUGGUUUCAUUGGAAUUAUCACUGUUGCUGCGAAUUUAAAAUAAACGGAAUUAUCACGGAUUCGACUUUCCGAGGAACUGGAUGAAGAAGUAUUAUGAAGAGUUAUACUGCAUUUUGGUUUAUAUGAUAUUGUAUUAAUUAGAUAAUUUUUCUUCCCUCGUCUUUGUUAUUACAAUUUUAUAAGAGGGAUAGGAGUUGUAUGUUUUAUAUGUAAAUUACAUUAUAAGCUAUUAUGUAAGAAGUCUUGUAUAUGAAUAUGUCUGUUUGUUUUUUAUUUUUCUUAAGGUAAAAUAUUUGUUUCCGGUUUUUAAAAAAAUCAGCGAUAUGGUG